rnacentral:rRNA from 1 species
GGUAUUGAAUAAGAUUUUAAUUGAAUGCUAAGAGAAUGGAAGUCCAGAAAAAAACUUUUUUUAAAUUAAAAAUUGAAGUUUUUUUAAUUUGUGCAGAAACAAUUAUUUAUAUUAAAGACAAGAAGACCCUAUGAAUUUAUUAAAUUUUUAUUUAAUAUGUAAUUACUAUUAGAAAAAUUUUGGCUGGGGCGGCUAGAAAAUAUUAUGAACUUUUUAAAAAUAAAAUGAUCCAUUAUUAAUGAUUUUAUGUUAAAUACUCUAGGGAUAACAGCGUUAUAUUUUUUGAUAGAUCAUAUUGACAAAAAAGUUUGCGACCUCGAUGUUGGAUUAGGAUACUUUUUUAAUGAAGAUAUUAAAAAAAGAAGUUUGUUCAACUUUUAAUUUCCUACUUGAUCUGAGUUCAGACCGGA